UGUUCACAUUCUUUUCACUUCCAGUGUAUUGCUUCCAAUGUAAAACAUGGAAACCAAAUAUGCCCAGUUUGUAGAGCAAAGUGGAACGAGAUUCCCCUGCAGUAUCCAAAUUUGGAUCCUCCCCCUGGAAGGGCUAGAGUUAAUCCUGUUGAUUGGCCCCAACAUAAUGCUCUAAUGACUGUAGUGCGCAGACUCCCUCCACCUCGUCCUAAUCCUAAUCGAAUCAAUGCACCUCCAUUUCCGGCUCCUGAGCCUGCUAUCUUCAAUGAUGAUGAAUCUUUGGGUCAUCAGUCCGACUCUAGUGAGAGAAGCUCUUCGGGCAAGAAUGUUGCAGAAAAUGAUGGCCAAAGAACAAUGAAAAUCAAAACAUACACCGAAGUUCCAGCUGUCCUCCGGUUCAAUGUUGCUGAUAACUUCACGAUCUUAAUUAAUCUCAAAGCUCCAGCUCCAAAUUCCAGUGAGAACAUGAGUAGAAACCAGGCAAGUUCACCCCAAGUUUCCCAAACAUCUCGUGCACCUGUUGACCUUGUCACGGUUCUAGAUGUCAGUGGCAGCAUGGCAGGUACCAAGCUUGCAUUGCUCAAGCGAGCUAUGGGGUUUGUGAUACAGAACCUUGGUCCCAAUGACAGGCUUGCAGUAAUUGCCUUCUCAUCAACCGCCCGCCGGUUGUUUCCCCUUCGUAGGAUGUCUGAAACAGGACGGCAGCAAGCACUGCAAGCUGUUAACUCUUUAGUUGCAAAUGGAGGGACAAACAUUGCUGAAGGCUUGCGCAAGGGUGCCAAGGUAAUGGAAGAUCGCAGAGAAAAGAACCCUGUUGCCAGUAUUAUAUUGCUAUCUGAUGGGCAAGAUACAUAUACAGUUAGUAACAUGGGGAGCAGUCAACAGCAACCAAAUUACCAACUUCUUCUUCCAUUGUCUAUCCACAAUGAAAGUAGUUCUAAUUUUAAGAUUCCAGUGCAUGCUUUUGGGUUCGGGGCAGACCAUGAUGCUUCAUCAAUGCACUCAAUCUCAGAGAUAUCUGGAGGAACCUUCUCUUUCAUUGAAACAGAAGGUGUAAUCCAGGAUGCAUUUGCUCAGUGCAUUGGUGGACUUUUGAGUGUUGUGGUCAAGGACCUGCAGGUGAAUAUUGAGUGUGUUGAUCCAAGAGUCAGUCUUGGUUCCUUAAAAGCUGGAAGCUACCCCAAUCGUGUGAUGUCGGAUGGAUGCAUGGGAACUAUUGAUGUUGGCGACCUGUAUGCUGAUGAGGAACGAGACUUUCUAGUUUCAGUUAAUGUCCCAACUGAAAUUUCAAGCUCUGAAACUGCAUUGAUAAGGGUGAAAUGUGUUUACAAUGAUCCUUUGACAAAAGGCUCGGUGACUGUUGGAAGUGAUGAAGUUAGGAUUAGAAGACCUGAUGAAGCUGGACAACAAAGUGCAUCAGUUGAAGUGGAUAGGCAACAGAACAGGCUGCGUGCGGCUGAGGCGAUGCUCCUAGCGCGAACUACGGCUGAGAAAGGAGACCUGUCUGGUGCAGCAUCUAUUCUUGAAAACUGUCGCAAGGUGUUGUCAGAAACUGUUUCGGCCAAGUCUCAUGAUCGGCUCUGCAUUGCACUUGAUGCUGAGCUUAAAGAAAUGCAAGAGAGACUGGCAAGCAGACAUGUGUAUGAAGCAUCAGGAAGGGCAUAUAUUCUUUCAGGACUAAGCUCACACUCAUGGCAGAGAGCAACAGCACGAGGUGACUCGACGGAUGGUUCAAGCCUGGUUCAGGCCUAUCAAACCCCGUCAAUGACCGAGAUGCUGAAUCGGUCUCAGGCUUCCCUACUAGGUAGUUCUUCAGCUCAGAGGCUCAUUCGACCUGUUUUAUCAUUUGCAUCACAUCCAAAGCCAAGGUGACCUUGCGACACCAAGAUAUGGAGUUUUCUCAAAGAUAACUGUUUUUCAUUGGUCUCCUUGAUGCUAUAGCUGUGCUUAUUUGUGUUUUGGGCCGGGGAAAAGUUAAUAGGUAAGAAACAGUUUUGGGUGUCAUUAUCUUCCUGUCUCAAUUAUGUAAAGCAAUAAACAUUGGUGAAGCGUGGAAAGUAUAAUGGGGUCAAGGUAAGGGGUAAACGGAGUAGGAUAAUCCAACUUUUGCUUUUUGUUGUUUCUUUUUCACCUUGUGGGUAUCAUUGGGGGUGGUGUACAUAAGGAAAGAUGGAUUUUCAUCUGAGAGAGAAGCCGGUAUAAGUUUGUAAUUGUGGAAAUAUUUUGUGAACUGCGCAGCUAUUACAUAAGAAUGUGAUUCUUUCACGGAGUUUUAAUAAUCAUGCAGUGGUAUGACUGGUACUAAUUCUUCAGCCACUUGAUAAAAUGGACUCUCUCUUUACGCAACUGAGAUCAUGAUAAGCAUGCAAAAAGUCACUCAAGAUGGUAUGGUACUACUAUCAUGGGAUGGAAAAGAUGAAACAUAUAUUAUUGUUUAAUUUUAGGAAAAGAUGAACUUCAAAGUUGACCUUCCGUGGAGACUUGUGCUUCUCCUCAUUCAUUACUAGUCCAGAGAACAAAAGCUAGCACUACAGUGCUUUGACAUUGCACCGGAUUGUUGCCAAGAAAUACACUACUGUACUGUCCUACUGUACUGUAAAAGAUGGUGUGGUGCAUUAUUCUAAACGGUCCAUACCCUUUUCCAGCCUCUCAAUUGACUUUAAAAACUUUGGGGAUUGAUAAAGAUGGUCAUGAUCCUUUAUUUUUUUCAUGAUCCUUUAUUGAUUCACUUUUUUGUUGCAUGAAAUGUCUCAUAACGUAGAAAGCUUUAAAAAAAUAUUGGGUACUCUUUAGCUUUUUGUUCCGUUACGUCUUUUCAUACGAUAAGGGGAAAUUAAUUCUUAUCUUUGCCGCGGGCGGGCUCACAUAUCAGAUUAUUAUGUGCGAGAAUAGGCAGCUUUACUGAUUGCGAGCAAAGAUUGAAUAUCAUCAGGUCAGCAACUGUGGCAAUCUCAAAGCUCCAGCUCCAAAUUCCAGUGAGAACAUGAGUAGAAACCAGGCAAGUUCACCCCAAGUUUCCCAAACAUCUCGUGCACCUGUUGACCUUGUCACGGUUCUAGAUGUCAGUGGCAGCAUGGCAGGUACCAAGCUUGCAUUGCUCAAGCGAGCUAUGGGGUUUGUGAUACAGAACCUUGGUCCCAAUGACAGGCUUGCAGUAAUUGCCUUCUCAUCAACCGCCCGCCGGUUGUUUCCCCUUCGUAGGAUGUCUGAAACAGGACGGCAGCAAGCACUGCAAGCUGUUAACUCUUUAGUUGCAAAUGGAGGGACAAACAUUGCUGAAGGCUUGCGCAAGGGUGCCAAGGUAAUGGAAGAUCGCAGAGAAAAGAACCCUGUUGCCAGUAUUAUAUUGCUAUCUGAUGGGCAAGAUACAUAUACAGUUAGUAACAUGGGGAGCAGUCAACAGCAACCAAAUUACCAACUUCUUCUUCCAUUGUCUAUCCACAAUGAAAGUAGUUCUAAUUUUAAGAUUCCAGUGCAUGCUUUUGGGUUCGGGGCAGACCAUGAUGCUUCAUCAAUGCACUCAAUCUCAGAGAUAUCUGGAGGAACCUUCUCUUUCAUUGAAACAGAAGGUGUAAUCCAGGAUGCAUUUGCUCAGUGCAUUGGUGGACUUUUGAGUGUUGUGGUCAAGGACCUGCAGGUGAAUAUUGAGUGUGUUGAUCCAAGAGUCAGUCUUGGUUCCUUAAAAGCUGGAAGCUACCCCAAUCGUGUGAUGUCGGAUGGAUGCAUGGGAACUAUUGAUGUUGGCGACCUGUAUGCUGAUGAGGAACGAGACUUUCUAGUUUCAGUUAAUGUCCCAACUGAAAUUUCAAGCUCUGAAACUGCAUUGAUAAGGGUGAAAUGUGUUUACAAUGAUCCUUUGACAAAAGGCUCGGUGACUGUUGGAAGUGAUGAAGUUAGGAUUAGAAGACCUGAUGAAGCUGGACAACAAAGUGCAUCAGUUGAAGUGGAUAGGCAACAGAACAGGCUGCGUGCGGCUGAGGCGAUGCUCCUAGCGCGAACUACGGCUGAGAAAGGAGACCUGUCUGGUGCAGCAUCUAUUCUUGAAAACUGUCGCAAGGUGUUGUCAGAAACUGUUUCGGCCAAGUCUCAUGAUCGGCUCUGCAUUGCACUUGAUGCUGAGCUUAAAGAAAUGCAAGAGAGACUGGCAAGCAGACAUGUGUAUGAAGCAUCAGGAAGGGCAUAUAUUCUUUCAGGACUAAGCUCACACUCAUGGCAGAGAGCAACAGCACGAGGUGACUCGACGGAUGGUUCAAGCCUGGUUC
rnacentral:lncRNA from 1 species